rnacentral:rRNA from 3 species
AGGAGUGGAGCCUGCGGCUUAAUUUGACUCAACACGGGAAACCUCACCAGGCCCGGACACCGGAAGGAUUGACAGAUUGAGAGCUCUUUCUUGAUUCGGUGGGUGGUGGUGCAUGGCCGUUCUUAGUUGGUGGAGCGAUUUGUCUGGUUAAUUCCGAUAACGAACGAGACUCUAGCCUGCUAACUAGGCGUAUUUCGACAUCCCAAAGGCCCGCCGGUUUGGGGUUCCGACUCCUUUCUGCGCGCGGUUUUUACUGUCGGCGUACAAACAAUUCUUCUUAGAGGGACAGGCGGCUUCUAGCCGCACGAGAUUGAGCAAUAACAGGUCUGUGAUGCCCUUAGAUGUUCUGGGCCG